GAUGAACGCUAGCGGCAGGCCUAAUACAUGCAAGUCGAACGGUAACAUGAGUAGCAAUACUUGAUGACGAGUGGCGCACGGGUGCGUAACGCGUAUGCAAUCUACCUUUAACCGGUGAAUAGCCCGAAGAAAUUCGGAUUAAUACACCAUAGUAUGAUGAGGAGGCAUCUCCUUAUCAUUAAAGUUCCGACAGUUAAAGAUGAGCAUGCGUGACAUUAGCUAGUUGGCGGGGUAACGGCCCACCAAGGCGACGAUGUCUAGCUGGUCUGAGAGGAUGAUCAGCCACACUGGGACUGAGACACGGCCCAGACUCCUACGGGAGGCAGCAGUAGGGAAUAUUGGACAAUGGGGGGAACCCUGAUCCAGCCAUGCCGCGUGAGGGAAGAAGGUCCUCUGGAUUGUAAACCUCUUUUGGCAGGAAACAAACCUGCGCUAUACGCGCAGCUGAGGGUACCUGCAGAAUAAGCACCGGCUAACUCCG
rnacentral:rRNA from 1 species